rnacentral:pre_miRNA from 1 species
AUACUACUCCCUCCGUUCGGAAUUACUUGUCUCGGAAAUGGAUGUAUCUAGAACUAAAAUACAUCUAGAUACAUCCAUUUCUGCGACAAGUAAUUCCGAACGGAGGGGGUACCUU